rnacentral:tRNA from 1 species
AGUUAAUGAACUUGAAUAAGUAUAUAUUUUGAAAAUAUAACAUAGAGUCCAAAUCUCUAUUAACUU